rnacentral:rRNA from 1 species
CAGUGGGGAAUAUUGGACAAUGGGCGCAAGCCUGAUCCAGCCAUGCCGCGUGGGUGAUGAAGGCCCUAGGGUUGUAAAGCCCUUUCAGCGGGGAAGAUAAUGACGGUACCCGCAGAAGAAGCCCCGGCUAACUUCGUGCCAGCAGCCGCGGUAAAACGUAGGAGACAAGCGUUAUCCGAAUUUACUGGGCGUAAAGCGCGUGCAGGUGGUGCGGUAAGUUGCCUGUGAAAUCUCCUGGCUCAACUGGGAGAGGCCGGGCAAGACUGCCGGACUAGAGGGCGGUAGAGGGAGGUGGAAUUCCCGGUGUAGUGGUGAAAUGCGUAGAUAUCGGGAGGAACACCUGUGGCGAAAGCGGCCUCCUGGACCGCACCUGACGCUCAGACGCGAAAGCUAGGGGAGUGAACGGGAUUAGAAACCCCGGUAAUCCUAGCUGUAAACGAUGUGGACUGGGUGUCGGCGGGGUAAAAGCCGUCGGUGCCGAAGCCAACGCGAUAAGUCCACCGCCUGGGGACUACGGCCGCAAGGUUA